UACGUAGGAGGCGAACGUUAUCCGGAAUCACUGGGCGUAAAGCGGGAGUAGGCGGCUUUUCAAGUCAGGUGUGAAAUCUUUUGACUUAAUCAGAAGACGGCGCCUGAUACUGGAUGGCUUGAGGGCAGGAGAAGGAAAUGGAAUUCCCGGUGUAGCGGUGAAAUGCGUAGAUAUCGGGAAGAACACCAGUGGCGAAGGCGAUUUCCUAGUCUGUUUCUGACGCUGAGGACCGAAGGCAUGGGGAGUGAAGUGGAUUAGAUACCCGCGUA
rnacentral:rRNA from 1 species